CUAUACAUUUCCGAAGACAGAGAAGAGGAAAAAGGAGGGCCAUGGAAAAAGGCAAGAAGGUCCCGUGACCAAGAGAUGACCAGCUCCACAGAGGAAAUGCAGGGCCACUCUCCGACUGGACCCCACUGUGCACAAGCCUGCUCAAUGUGAAGAUGACGAGGAUGAAAACCUUCAUGAUUAUCUACUCCCAUUUAUGG